CGAAGGGCAAGCGUUAUCCAAAUGAUUGGGCGUAAAGGGUUUGUAGGCGGUAUUUAUCGCUAAUUGUAAAUAAUGAGAUCUUAUCUUAUUGCUGCAAUUAGUACAUUAAUACUUGAGUAUAAUUGAGGAUAACAGAAUUCUAUAGGGAAGAGUAAAAUCUGUAAAUCUAUGGAGGAAUGCCGGAAGCGAAAGCGGUUAUCUGGGUUAAUACUGACGCUGAGAAACGAAGCGUGGGGAGCGAACAGGAUU
rnacentral:rRNA from 1 species